CCCCUUUCGUUCCAUCAGUGAACCGCUUAUAUGUAUGAGCGUCGGCGACGGUCGACUACGGCGAUAAACGGGCGACAGAAUAAGCGUAGCGGACCCGGGGGCAGUACCCGGCGCCUCCACCAAAUUUCCCUGAAAGCGUCAGGGUGUACGGGGGCGAAAUAGGAUCGACGCGCGUGGUAAAAGCCGUCUUUUCGCUCGGCAUGGCACCACCGUUAUCGGGCCAUAUGAUAGUUGCGAAUGACAACUAUGCUGGGGAACUCCGCGCCGCUGCUUAAGCGGUAAGGAACCCUGUUCAAUCCGUUGCGGUUAGCGUCGUAACGUGGGGCUCGCGGGCCGCCUAGCAACAGAAGGCCCGCACU
rnacentral:tmRNA from 1 species